rnacentral:rRNA from 1 species
UACGUAGGGGGCGAGCGUUGUCCGGAAUCAUUGGGCGUAAAGCGCGUGUAGGCGGCCCGGUAAGUCCGCUGUGAAAGUCCAGGGCUCAACCCUGGGAUGCCGGUGGAUACUGUCGGGCUCGAGUCCGGGAGAGGCGAGUGGAAUUCCUGGUGUAGCGGUGAAAUGCGCAGAUAUCGGGAGGAACACCUGUGGCGAAGGCGGCCGCCUGGUUGGAUACUGACGCUGAGACGCGAAAGCGUGGGGAGCAAACAGG